GCGUUGCUCGGAAUGACUGGGCGUAAGGGCGCGUAGGCGGAUCUCACAGUCGGGCGUGAAAUUCCUGGGCUUAACCUGGGGGCUGCGUUUGAGACGUGGGGUCUAGAGUUUGGAAGAGGGUCGUGGAAUUCCCAGUGUAGAGGUGAAAUUCGUAGAUAUUGGGAAGAACACCGGUGGCGAAGGCGGCGACCUGGUCCUGGACUGACGCUGAGGCGCGAAAGCGUGG
rnacentral:rRNA from 1 species